UGGAGAUUGGCGGCCGUCCUAAUGACUUAAGUGGCCGACCCGCGCCCACGUAAAAUUUGUCUAUUAGAGAUAGAAUCAGGAAGGAAUGGAUUAAUUCAUUCUCCAUCACCCUGAGGCUUAAGGUACUGAUUCUCUUCAAGCUGAAUGCCACAAUUUGCCCCAUAGAGUAGCCAUGGGCAGCAAACGUGGAUUCAUACAGCCAUCCAAGAAAGUUCCCGAUGGAGCAGUGAAUCUAGAUCCAUCCUUGAAAAAGAGCAGGAAGGAAUGGAUUAAUUCAUUCUCCAUCACCCUGAGGCUUAAGGUACUGAAUCUCUUCAAGCUGAAUGCCACAAUUUGCCCCAUAGAGUAGCCAUGGGCAGCAAACGUGGAUUCAUACAGCUGUCCGAGAAAGUUCCCGAUGGAGCAGUGAAUCUAGAUCCAUCCUUGAAAAAGAGCAAGGCACAAGGAAGAAAAGGGCACUUACCAGAACUCGAGCUCACAAGCCGAUGAAGCAAUCCCCGUACGGAAGAUCCCCUGAAGCAAGUUCCCCGUACGGGCCACCAGAAAUGAUGCGGGGUCGGUGAGCCAAGGAGUCGAAAGAAAGAUUUCUUAGACUCUCAAGAUCUGGCAGUAGUGCUCUUUUAUUUAGAGAAUAGUGUGGAAUAGCACGGGGACAGGACCCAUGGGCAGGCAGAGCUUCUGCUGCUGCCCCCGCUGGCAUGGGGACAGGACCCAUGGGCAGGCAGAGCUGGUGUGUGGGGACAAGACCCACGGGCAGUCAGAGCUCCUGCUGCUGCCGCAUGGGGACAGGACCCAUGGGCAGUCAGAGCUGGUGCGUGGGGACAGGACCCACGGGCAGUCAGAGCUCCUGCUGCUGCCGCAUGGGGACAGGACCCAUGGGCAGUCAGAGCUGGUGCGUGGGGACAGGACCCACGGGCAGUCAGAGCUCCUGCUGCUGCCCCGAGUUGAGUAGGGCUAAUUUUAUAAGGCAAGAGUACGUGACUUAUUUUUACUGGAGAAAAGAAAAGAUGAUGUAAAAAGUCAUUAAAUGAUUUCAGUGCAGAUGGGGUCUGGUUAUUGUGCGGUCAUAUAACUUUAGAUACGAAUCUGGCCAUAUAGAUCGGCAUGCAGGUGAGGAUGCCCUGGGCUUCUCUCCCUGGGGCAGCCCUAAUUCAUACCAUAAAAAAAGUCCACUGGGUCGUAUAGUUUGGCAUGUAGGCCAGGUCACCUUGGGCUUCUCUAGCUGGGGCAGCCUUAAUUCACAUCACUACCCUGCCCAGGCACUGAGAUUAAGCUGAGGGCAAGUGGGAGCCACUGAGGGUUCAGGGAGGAAAUCAACCCACUCAGAGGAAUGUUGGAGAAGGGUCGCUCUGGCUGCUUGGCAAGGAUGGAUGAAGGUGGGCAGGGGGCACCUGGAGCAGGAAGAGCAGCGCGAGGCGGCUCCAAAGGCCCAGGGGACUGCCCUCGAGGCCAUUUGCUGGGACCUGGCCAUGCGGCGGGUCGCCUGCCCUCUCCCGCGCACCUUUGCGGCGGGCCCAGAGUGGCGCUGACUGCAUACCCAGGGGGCGCUGCACACGGAACAGAAGUGACGGCUCCACGGAGGCCCAGGAGCGGAAGGAAUCGCGGAAGGAAACGCGGAAGGGCGGGAAGCGCGCCGAGGCCGCCUCGGAGCCCCCGGAACAGCAUGAGGAGCCAGGACUGGAAGCGGUGGCCGCUCCGACAACCAUUGGCGCCCAAAUGGCGGGAGAGGAGGCUCAAGAGGUGGGCAGAACCGGGGGC
rnacentral:lncRNA from 1 species